GGACAGGUGGCCGAGCGGUUUAAGGCAGCAGUCUUGAAAACUGCCGUGCGUUCACGCGUACCGUGAGUUCGAAUCUCACCCUGUCCGCCA
rnacentral:tRNA from 1 species